AAAACUGAAUACACUCACAUGAGACACGGACCUUCAUAAUAAAACAGGAAACAAGAAACAACUGCAGAAAGACGCAGACAAGACACAGAACUAAAUCUACACUAAACAUGUGUUCCGCUCUUAAUUUUACUGCAAUAUAGGCGCUCUUUGUAGUGAGCUAAUUUUAUUUUGAAAUUCGUUUUAUUUUGAAAACCAGUUUUGGGAAGUGACAGGAAGUCAGCCAUGUUUGUUUAGUUCUUAGCAGAUCACAUGUGGGGAAAUUUGAUCCAGCGACAUCUGCCUUUUCUUUGUGCCAUCGACACCACCGUCUAUUAGUGGCGUGUAUUCUCAGAUUUACUCAGUAAGUUGUAAAGCAGUUUGCUGAGCCAAGGGGAGAGUCCACUGCUGAGGAGACAGCAGUUACUGCAAGGCGUCAAUAUACAAGACCCCAUGUUCAUAUUUCAUAUUUUUGUUGUUGUCAUUGACAAAU
rnacentral:lncRNA from 1 species